GAGUUUGAUCCUGGCUCAGGACGAACGCUGGCGGCGUGCUUAACACAUGCAAGUCGAACGGAGUGCCUCGGAAAGAGAUUUCGGUCAAUGGAAGAGGUUACUUAGUGGCGGACGGGUGAGUAACGCGUGAGGAACCUGCCUUUCAGAGGGGGACAACAGCUGGAAACGGCUGCUAAUACCGCAUAACAUAUAGGUAUCGCAUGGUGUCUAUAUCAAAGAUUUAUCGCUGAAAGAUGGCCUCGCGUCUGAUUAGCUAGUUGGUAGGGUAACGGCCUACCAAGGCGACGAUCAGUAGCCGGACUGAGAGGUUGGCCGGCCACAUUGGGACUGAGAUACGGCCCAGACUCCUACGGGAGGCAGCAGUGGGGAAUAUUGGGCAAUGGGCGCAAGCCUGACCCAGCAACGCCGCGUGAAGGAAGAAGGCUUUCGGGUUGUAAACUUCUUUUAAGAGGGAAGAGUAGAAGACGGUACCUCUUGAAUAAGCCACGGCUAACUACGUGCCAGCAGCCGCGGUAAUACGUAGGUGGCAAGCGUUGUCCGGAUUUACUGGGUGUAAAGGGCGUGUAGCCGGGUUGACAAGUCAGAUGUGAAAUCCUGCGGCUUAACCGCA
rnacentral:rRNA from 1 species